CCCUUAGAUGUUCUGGGCCGCACGCGCGCUACACUGAUGCAUUCAACGAGUCUAAAACCUGGUCUGAUAGGGCUGGGUAAUCUUUUGAAUGUGCAUCGUGAUUGGGAUAGAUGAUUGCAAUUCUUCAUCUUCAACGAGGAAUGCCUAGUAAACGCAAGUCAUCAGCUUGCAUUGAUUACGUCCCUGCCCUUUGUACACACCGCCCGUCACUCCUACCGAUUGAAUGUUCCGAUGAAUACCAUGGACUGAGAGUAUGAAUGGGUUCGCCUAUUUCUGCUUCUCGGGAAGUGGAGUAAAUCUUAACAUUUAGAGGAAGGAGAAGUCGUAACA
rnacentral:rRNA from 1 species